rnacentral:rRNA from 1 species
CCUACGGGCCGCACCAGUGGGGAAUAUUGGACAAUGGGCGAAAGCCUGAUCCAGCAAUGCCGCGUGUGUGAAGAAGGUCUUCGGAUUGUAAAGCACUUUCACCGGUGAAGAUAAUGACGGUAACCGGAGAAGAAGCCCCGGCUAACUUCGUGCCAGCAGCCGCGGUAAUACGAAGGGGGCUAGCGUUGCUCGGAAUGACUGGGCGUAAAGGGCGCGUAGGCGGUUUAUGCAGUCAGAUGUGAGAUCCCCGGGCUUAACCUGGGAACUGCAUUUGAGACGCAUAGACUAGAGGUCGAGAGAGGGUUGUGGAAUACCCAGUGUAGAGGUGAAAUUCGUAGAUAUUGGGGAGAACACCGGUGGCGAAGGCGGCAACCUGGCUCGAUACUGACGCUGAGGCGCGAAAGCGUGGGGAGCAAACAGGAUUAGAUACCCUUGUAGUC